AUGUUUGCUUCAGCUCCACUGCUGCUGCUGGCUCUCGCCCCCUAUGUGUUCUGUGCUACUGAGCUCAUCCAGCCAGACUCACUGCUUAUAAAGCCAGGAGAGACUUUAACCAUCACCUGUAAAGUGUCUGGAGCUUCUAUCACUGAUAGCAGCAGCCACUAUGGAACAGCUUGGAUUCGACAACCUGCAGGAAAAGCUUUAGAAUGGAUCAACAUCAUUUAUUAUAAUGGAGUUAUUGGUCAAAAAGAUUCACUUAAAGACAAGUUUGUGGUCUCUCGAGACACUUCCAGUAACUCUGUGACAUUACGAGGACAGAACAUGCAGACUGAAGACACAGCUGUGUAUUACUGCGCUCGUGAUCCACACAGUGACACAACAAGCUGCAGUGCUGCGCAAAAACCUCAUCAAAAUUCACUUCUUUAA